GAUGAACGCUGGCGGCGUGCCUAAUACAUGCAAGUCGAGCGAACAGACGAGGAGCUUGCUCUUCUGACGUUAGCGGCGGACGGGUGAGUAACACGUGGAUAACCUACCUCUAAGACUGGGAUAACUUCGGGAAACCGGAGCUAAUACCGGAUAAUAUAUUGAACCGCAUGGUUCAAUAGUGAAAGACGGCUUUGCUGUCACUUAUAGACGGAUCCGCGCCGCAUUAGCUAGUUGGUAAGGUAACGGCUUACCAAGGCGACGAUGCGUAGCCGACCUGAGAGGGUGGUCGGCCACACUGGAACUGAGACACGGUCCAGACUCCUACGGGAGGCAGCAGUAGGGAAUCUUCCGCAAUGGGCGAAAGCUUGACGGAGCAACGCCGCGUGAGUGAUGAAGGUCUUCGGAUCGUAAAGCUCUGUUAUUAGGAAAGAACAAAUGUGUAAGUAACUAUGCACGUCUUGACGGUACCUAAUCAGAAAGCCACGGCUAACUACGUG
rnacentral:rRNA from 1 species